AGAGUUUGAUCCUGGCUCAGGAUGAACGCUGGCGGCGUGCUUAACACAUGCAAGUCGAACGAUGAACCUCACUUGUGGGGGGAUUAGUGGCGAACGGGUGAGUAACACGUGAGUAACCUGCCCUUAACUCUGGGAUAAGCCUGGGAAACUGGGUCUAAUACCGGAUAUGACUCCUCAUCGCAUGGUGGGGGGUGGAAAGCUUUAUUGUGGUUUUGGAUGGACUCGCGGCCUAUCAGCUUGUUGGUGAGGUAAUGGCUCACCAAGGCGACGACGGGUAGCCGGACUGAGAGGUCGAUCGGCCACACUGGAACUGAGACACGGUCCAGACUCCUACGGGAGGCAGCAGUGGGGAAUUUUGCGCAAUGGGCGAAAGCCUGACGCAGCGACGCCGCGUGGGGGAAGAAGGCCUUCGGGUUGUAAACCCCUUUCGUGAGGGAAAAAGUCCCGGGCAACCGGGAUGAUGGUACCUCAGGAAGAAGCCACGGCUAACUCUGUGCCAGCAGCCGCGGUAAGACAGAGGUGGCAAGCGUUGUUCGGAUUUACUGGGCUUAAAGGGCGUGUAGGCGUCCUGAUAAGUCAGAUGUGGAAGCCUUGGGCUUAACCCGAGAAUUGCAUUUGAAACUGUCAGGAUUGAGUCGUGCACGGGAGGGCGGAAUUCCUGGUGUAGCGGUGAAAUGCGUAGAUAUCAGGAGGAAGGCCGGUGGUGAAGAUGGCCCUCUGGGCAAUGACUGACGCUGAGGCGCGAAAGCGUGGGUAGCAAACAGGAUUAGAUACCCUGGUAGUCC
rnacentral:rRNA from 1 species